UACGUAGGAGGCAAGCGUUGUCCGGAAUUAUUGGGCGUAAAGGGCGUGUAGGUGGAUUCUUAAGUCGUGUGUCUAAGUGCGAAGCUCAACUUCGUAUAGGCGCAGUAAACUGUGAAUCUUGAGUGCAGGAGAGGAAAGUGGAAUUCCCAGUGUAGCGGUGAUAUGCGUAGAUAUUGGGAUGAACACCAGUGGCGAAGGCGACUUUCUGGACUGUGUCUGACCCUGAGGCGCGAAAGCUAGGGGAGCGAACUGG
rnacentral:rRNA from 1 species